UCAGUUACAAAAAAGAAAUUGCGGAAAUAAGUGUCAUUUUGGCCUAAUGGAAGGAGAUGCUCCAAAAUUCGGUGAAACAACUAUUCAGCCGAUGCUUAAGCAAAAGUCAAAAAUCGCUUACUAAUUCCUGUAGAAUUAAUACUUACAAUGUUGAACUGGUGCAACAUCAGCGAUCAGAAGACCAACUUCAAAAGCAAAACACAUAAAAAAGGUUCACG